AGGCGGAGAAUUUUCUUUAGGCGAUAUUUGAAAGUGUUAAAGUGGCCUAUUAGUUGUUUAUACAAGUCUCUAAGGAUCAAUAAGCAUUGUCCAUCUGCAGGUUUGAAGAUGUUGCAUCAUUGGGAUCGGGAAUAGAGAGCUUGUAUUUAGUUUUGAUUUGCUAAGUUGACUUGGGUUUGUUUAAUUGGACUUUAAACUUGUCGUACUAUUUACAUUUCCUUAUUUUCGUUGGUUGAUUUUUGGGACUAAACCUGUAAUCGAUUAUUUAUAAACCUAAAGUUAGUUUUA